GAGAUAUUUAGAGGACAACGCACACACACACACACACACACACACACACACACACACACACACACACACACACACACACACACACAGAGGGUCCUUGCUUUAUAGUUAGAUGUUAAAAUAUUAGUUGC